UACGGGGGGGGCAAGCGUUGUUCGGAAUUACUGGGCGUAAAGGGCUCGUAGGUGGCCAACUAAGUCGAACGUGAAAUCCCCGGGCUCAACCCGGGAACUGCGUCCGAUACUGGAAGGCUUGAAUCCGGGAGAGGGAUGCGGAAUUCCAGGUGUAGCGGUGAAAUGCGUAGAUAUCUGGAGGAACACCGGUGGCGAAGGCGGCAUCCUGGACCGGCAUUGACGCUGAGGCGCGAAAGCCAGGGGAGCAAACGGG
rnacentral:rRNA from 1 species